rnacentral:lncRNA from 1 species
ACACAUGUCGCAUAUGUGGUAGUGGCCAACAUUAUGCGAAAGAGUACCCAAGGAACCAAAAUCAGGGCAGACCUCCUAUCCAAAAUAGAGCUUAUAAUCUCACCCAAUAGGAUGCUGAAGCCAACCUAUACGUGGUACAGGAUAUGUACACUAUCUGUAACUAUCUUGCUCAUGUUUUGAUUGACACUGGUGCAUCGCAUUCAUUUGUUUAACCUGUUUUUGUAUCAAA